CAGAUCCUUUCAGUCAUCAUCUAUCAUUAAGAAUUGUCCCCUAAGAGAACUGAUUUACACAUCAAGGUCAUCAAAUGAAUGAUAAAGGCACAUAACACAGCCCCCAGCUACAUCCAGUAUCCACCCAGCCUGAUUCAAGAUGAGAAGGAUGAUUAACUUUGGACCAGCACCUGCAUGUCACCAGACUUGAGCAGCAACCAUCAAAACACAUGCCUAAUAUACUGGCCAUCUCCAUAAGCACAGCAGAGCUGUCUGCUAUGAACUACUAUCACAAGUAGAAGAAAAAUCAUUGAAACUGCCUGCUAAUUAAGACAAUGCCAUUUUAUGUGAUCCAGAGUCUGUAAUAUAGAUGUUGCCUGUUCUCUCUAUUCCUGCUUCGACUCUUCAAACAGCCAGUUUUGGAAAUGAGAUGCUCUGCUUCGAUGGCAGGCCAGGAUUCAUGUAAGCUACUCCUGA